GGGUUGUGAGGUUAAGCGACUAAGCGUACACGGUGGAUGCCCUGGCAGUCAGAGGCGAUGAAGGACGUGCUAAUCUGCGAUAAGCGUCGGUAAGGUGAUAUGAACCGUUAUAACCGGCGAUUUCCGAAUGGGGAAACCCAGUGUGAUUCGUCACACUAUCAUUAACUGAAUCCAUAGGUUAAUGAGGCGAACCGGGGGAACUGAAACAUCUAAGUACCCCGAGGAAAAGAAAUCAACCGAGAUUCCCCCAGUAGCGGCGAGCGAACGGGGAGCAGCCNAGAGCCUGAAUCAGUGUGUGUGUUAGUGGAAGCGUCUGGAAAGGCGCGCGAUACAGGGUGACAGCCCCGUACACAAAAAUGCACAUACUGUGAGCUCGAUGAGUAGGGCGGGACACGUGGUAUCCUGUCUGAAUAUGGGGGGACCAUCCUCCAAGGCUAAAUACUCCUGACUGACCGAUAGUGAACCAGUACCGUGAGGGAAAGGCGAAAAGAA
rnacentral:rRNA from 1 species